UGAGUAAUAUUGCGCAAUGGACGAAAGUCUGACGCAGCCACGCCGCGUGCAGGAAGACACCCCUAUGGGGCGUAAACUGCUUUUAUACGGGAAGAACAACCUACUCGGUAGGGUCUGACGGUACCGUACGAAUAAGGACCGGCUAACUCCGUGCCAGCAGCCGCGGUAAUACGGAGGGUCCAAGCGUUGUCCGGAAUCACUGGGUGUAAAGGGUGCGCAGGCGGGCGUGUAAGUCAGAGGUGAAAUCCAUCGGCCUAACCGAUGAACUGCCUUUGAUACUGCACGGCUUGAGUCUUGGAGAGGUUGCCAGAAUUCGUGGUGUAGCGGUGCAAUGCGUAGAUAUCACGAGGAAUACCGGAAGCGUAGGCGGGCAACUGGACAAGUACUGACGCUGAGGCACGAAAGCGUGGGGAGCGAACAGGAUUAGAUACCCCCGUAGUCC
rnacentral:rRNA from 1 species